rnacentral:misc_RNA from 1 species
UAAUAAGUGUUUUAUGGCACUUUUUAGAUCCAUAUCCACCUUGUGUGCAAUGUCAGUCGAUCUUCUUCAUGGAGAUCGACCAAACAUCAACCUUUAUCUUUUAACUCUUUGUCUGAAAAAUAUUAUGAAUAAACAAUUCAAAAUA